AUUUGUGAACGUAUACAACCAGAGUUAUUUAAUCUUCCUUUUACCAGUAGUGCAGCCUGCUGGCUGCCUGUGAUGCUGAGAAGCCAGCAACGUUUCUCUAAGGCAAGCUCUGUCUCCUCAUCAAGCUUCUGUCUCAGAGAUUCAUGUGCAACAUUUCAGUUUACUCAGCCUUUAAUCGGAUGCCUGGCCUACUAUGAGUAGCGUGCAGCUUAUGAUCUCUUCCCAAUAAACAAGUUUUAAACAAGCUGCCACAUCAGAUGUUUUUUUUUUUUUUUUUGCAGAAAAUAAAUGUGAGACAGUAAGGAGAGCUCAUCAUUCCAAACAGUGCUCCUUUUGCUAGGCCACUCUCUUCUUCCUUGCAAGAAUUAAUUUACAGCUGUGGAAGAGUGUGACUGUCCCACUGAAAAGAAAUGCUACGGUUUGCUUGAGCAUGGAAAAAUCUGUCAUUCUAUGGGGAUUGAAGUAUGCUUAAUAAGGCAAAGUUCUUAAUGAAUUAUCCUGAAAUCACUGCUGUCUGUGACACUUUCUUCUGCUGGUUACAUGUGGUGUCAGAGUGAAUGCAAAUAUCUUGCUCAUCUGGACCACUGUCCUUUGGGCAUCUAAUGUUUUGGAACUCAUUAGUCAUUCUGACAGACAAAGAGGGUUUUUAGAGAAUGCCAGGAGUUAUUGCCAGGUCUGUGGACCCUGAUUCCCAAAAACACAUUGUGCAGAACUUUUGUUUGGGAUCGCAGUAACUUUGAGCUUCAUCUUGAUGUUGAAAUGAUUUUAUUUGCUUUCUUCUCCCUCCUUUUCUUUCUUUUUCAAAAUUUAAAAAGUGGUAGAAAUGGGAAGUGAUAGUGAAGAAAACGGUAUUUUUUUGUGUGACUCCUGUCAUCUUGGCUAAACUAUUGUCAUCUUUGGAACACUUCCUAACAGCUUCAGCAACAGAUGAUGAAGCUCAGAUGGGGGAAGUGAGUGGAUUGUCCUUACUGUGUGGGGGAUCACUGCAAUGAUAAACACAGAGCUCCUCCAAAGACACUGGAGCCAAGCAUAGGAAAAACUGAUGUGAGCAAGCAAGGACUGCUGAAUGGUGACAGUGAGCUUGUAUGCUGCUAUAUACAGACCUCUUCACAAUGCCCUCUGAUUUUUGCAAUCAGAUGAAGAACAAGAUGAAAGGUCUGGUUAAACCUCAUUUGUUUAAAAGAGUGGUCACCUGUGGCCCCGUGAGUUAUCUCUGGCCAGGUCCAGGACCAGAUAAUUAAUGAG